CUUCUUCACAACCUUUUCUAGAAAACUGGUUCUUUACCCGGUGGUUAUGUUUUUAAUUACACUGUCAAAAUAAAAUCAUGCUCAUAAGCCAGGUGCUGUACACCAUAUACAUCUCCAGCAUGGAGAUGUCAGCACCUUUUUGGAGUGCAUGGGCAUCACCCUGCUGGCAGAGAGGUGGAACCCAGGUACAGACCCAGCUACCACCCGUGUCUGAAUUUCUCACCUACAUACUCAGCUGUCGGGUGCCCAACUGAAUUUGCAAGUGCAUGCUGAGAGGCAGGCUUCAUGGAUGAGGGAAGGCAAGAAGUAGAUAGAAGAUUUGCAGCAGAUCGAUCUGGACAGCACAGACAUGUCAUUUGUCUUCCUGGAGCUCCUUGGAAAAGGGUCAAGGCACCUUCAAGGGCACUGCUGCUUACAAAGAAGAAGCCCUUGGCGUCAGUGAAUGAUGACUAUUCAUUCCAGCAACCAAUCCAAUCCUCAGCUUCCAGAUCCCACUAUUCAACACGAUUUUGGAACAUUGUUAUUUGAUUAUUUUCACUUUUCUAUCAGAAUAUUUGCUCAUUCCUAUUUGUCUGUGUGAUAUUCUGACCACUACAUCUAUCACAAAACACCGUAGUACAUCUUGGAGUAAGUGUAACUGUGGAUUUUGCUUGCCUGAGCUUUUGAACAUUUGAAAUGCAAUGCACUUCCCAAGGAGGAGCUAUCCUGCACAUGGGGAAUCAUGAGACUGGUUUAGCAUCCUGCAAACAUGUUUGGAGAGAACAAAAUUAAACAUCUAAGCAUGCUGAUUAAAGCACUGAUUCUGCAAAGACUUACUACCUGAC
ensembl:lncRNA